rnacentral:rRNA from 1 species
AUUGAACGCUGGCGGCAGGCCUAACACAUGCAAGUCGAACGAGUGGCGGACGGGUGAGUAAUGUCUGGGAAACUGCCCGAUGGAGGGGGAUAACUACUGGAAACGGUAGCUAAUACCGCAUACCAUCGGAUGUGCCCAGAUGGGAUUAGCUAGUAGGUGGGGUAACGGCUCACCUAGGCGACGAUCCCUAGCUGGUCUGAGAGGAUGACCAGCCACACUGGAACUGAGACACGGUCCAGACUCCGACGGGAGGCAGCAGGGGGGAAUAUGGAGCAACGGGCGCAAGCCUGAUGCAGCCAUGCCGCGUGUAGGAAGAAGGCCCGCGGGUUGGAAAGUCCUUUCAGCGAGGAGGCUUUACUGGCAGCAGAAGCAAGGGCUACAUCCGUGCCAGCAGCCGCGGUAAUAC